GGCGAGAUGGCCGAGCGGUCUAAGGCGCCAGAUUAAGGUCCAUGUGGGAUUUGAACCCACGGAAUUUCUGGUCCGAAAGGGCGUGGGUUCGAAUCCCACUCUCGUCA